UUACCAUCUGACUCGACAACAGAACAGACAAUAGCAACUGGGCCUCAAAAGAAACAGGAGCUCUGCUCAAUUCCAGUCCCUUCAACCUGCCAUCAGACUAGAGAAUUCUUGGGGGCUACUAGGUUCAGACAUGUACGGAUCCCCAACUUUCAGUUAUGACAAAAGCCCUCUAUGAAGCCACAAAGGGGGGAAAUGGGAUCCUCUUAUAUGGGGGUCAACUAAGCAAAAGGCCUUUGAGGACAUUAAACAAGCACUCACCUGUGCACCUGGAUUAUGGCUCCCUGACCUCACAAAGCCUUUCUUUCAGUAUGUCCAUGAUCUGUCUGGAGUAACUGUGGGAGUUUUGACUCAGAUGCUGAGGACAUGGCACUGUCCAGUGGCCUAUUUGUCCAAACAGCUGGACUCUGUAGCCCAGGGCUGGCCACCUUUAUUUUGAGCUCUUGCAGUCACAGCUCUUCUGGUAUCGGAAGCUGAUAAACUGGCCAUGGGACAAGAACUGGUAGUCAGAGUUCCUCAUUCAAUUUUGACAUUGUUAAAACACUAUUGGUUGACUAAUGAAAAAUUGGUCAAAUAUCAGGACAUGUUAUGUAAAAACCCACAUAUCUAUGUUGAGGUCAUCAGACCUCUAAACCCAGGAACUUUGCUGCCCAUUGGACCUGGAAAACCUGAUCACAAAUGUGUUGAGGUCAUGGAUGAAGUGUUCUCCAGCAGAUCAGACCUAACAGACCAGCCUCUCGAGGACGCUGAUGCAGAGUACUUCACAGAUGGAAGCAAUUUUGUAAAAGAUGAGGUAUGUUUUGCUGGAUAUGCAAUGGUCACUCUGGACUCUACUGUCGAG
rnacentral:lncRNA from 1 species